CCCGCGGCGUUAGUUAGAAAACGCGCCGCAGCCUCUCCAAAUCCCCGGACGAAGCCACAGUCCGGGUGACAGCCAGCCACGAGAGGACAGAUCGACAUCUCCGUGACUUGGAGCAUGGCAGCGAAUGAGCCACCAACUCCAUGGUGGGCAUAAGAGGUGCCAGGGUCGCAUGGUGAACAAGAGAAGCUUCUC